UACGGAGGGUGCGAGCGUUAUCCGGAUUCACUGGGUUUAAAGGGUGCGUAGGCGGGCAGGUAAGUCAGUGGUGAAAUCUCCGAGCUUAACUCGGAACUGCCGUUGAUACUAUUUGUCUUGAAUAUUGUGGAGGUAAGCGGAAUAUGUCAUGUAGCGGUGAAAUGCUUAGAUAUGACAUAGAACACCAAUUGCGAAGGCAGCUUACUACACAACGAUUGACGCUGAGGCACGAAAGCGUGGGGAUCAAACAGG
rnacentral:rRNA from 1 species